UACGUAGGGGGCAAGCGUUGUCCGGAAUUAUUGGGCGUAAAGCGCGCGCAGGCGGCCGUUUAAGUCUGGUGUUUAAGCCCGGGGCUCAACCCCGGUUCGCACUGGAAACUGGGCGGCUUGAGUGCAGGAGAGGAAAGCGGAAUUCCACGUGUAGCGGUGAAAUGCGUAGAUAUGUGGAGGAACAUCAGUGGCGAAGGCGGCUUUCUGGCCUGUAACUGACGCUGAGGCGCGAAAGCGUGGGGAGCAAACAGG
rnacentral:rRNA from 1 species